rnacentral:lncRNA from 1 species
GCCCAUACACUGUCCCCUCUCCCUCUCAUCAACACAAAACCAGCCGCUCAAGCCUCCCCAACUACAGCUCCCCCUCACUUUUCCCUUCCCCAGCCGAAACCAGAGAAACAAAGCCAGCCAACCCUUCGCCAUUCAGAGAGCUCCCCUGCCCAACGCCAUUUUCCUUCACCACAGCAGCCAGCCACUUCCCUCUCUCGGCUGCACACAGACCACCCUCUCCCUCAACAGUAACGGCCAGAACAACAGCCCGAAGCCAGCCCUAUCCGCUUCCACCACGACCCGACCUUCUCUUCCUCGUAUCUGUUCUUCUUCUUCUUUUUCAUUUUCCCUGUAGAUUGGCCUCCACAGAAACCAACCGCUGCUCGCCUUCCUCCAACCGAACUCGCCGACCAGCAGCA